AUUGAACGCUGGCGGCAGGCCUAACACAUGCAAGUCGAGCGGAUGAAGGGAGCUUGCUCCCUGAUUCAGCGGCGGACGGGUGAGUAAUGCCUAGGAAUCUGCCUGAUAGUGGGGGACAACGUCUCGAAAGGAACGCUAAUACCGCAUACGUCCUACGGGAGAAAGCAGGGGACCUUCGGGCCUUGCGCUAUCAGAUGAGCCUAGGUCGGAUUAGCUAGUUGGUGAGGUAAUGGCUCACCAAGGCGACGAUCCGUAACUGGUCUGAGAGGAUGAUCAGUCACACUGGAACUGAGACACGGUCCAGACUCCUACGGGAGGCAGCAGUGGGGAAUAUUGGACAAUGGGCGAAAGCCUGAUCCAGCCAUGCCGCGUGUGUGAAGAAGGUCUUCGGAUUGUAAAGCACUUUAAGUUGGGAGGAAGGGUUGCUGAUUAAUACUCUGCAAUUUUGACGUUACCGACAGAAUAAGCACCGGCUAACUCUGUGCCAGCAGCCGCAGUAA
rnacentral:rRNA from 1 species